GCACAAGACAUUGUCUUUAAGGAUAUCUUGCCUUACAGAACCCACUAUUUUUUUUACAGAAUCUCCCAGAAUAUCUCAAGUUAAAAAUCUAAGAAGAAUAUUACAUAAAAAUGUAAAGAAUUUAUUUUUCAUUCCAAAUUUCUACUUAAUUGACAUAGCUUGUUGGUUAGGCUUAUGUAUCUACACAAGUUCUUUUUAUCAUUUAGAUUAAGGUGUUUGGAUAAACUAAUUAAGUGCUUGUGAUAAAAGUGCUUUUGUUUAAUGAGCUAUUAACAUUUGGAUACGCACCUUAGAAAGUAUUUUUGCAAAAGUGCUUAUCCAAAUUCUUAGAAAUAAAAAUGUUAAUAACUGUACUAAAUACAUUAUUUAAAAGAGAAAAGGAUAUAUUAUCUUGAAAAUUGAAAUCUUCAUAUUUUGAGAAAUGCUAGAAUCAAUUUUAUAUGAGAAUGUUUUUAUAUUUUUUUAACAAUGUCUGAAUUUGCCAACACAAACUGUAAAGUAAUGAACUGACCUAUUACUUCUGCAUAAGCUGUAGAUGGAGGCAGAGGCUUAUUUGAUAAGUUUAUCCUAGUAUCUUAUGGAAAUAAGGCAAGAUGACCUUAUGAAAGAGCAUACAUUAUUUAUAUAAGUUGUUCCAAACACACCAAUAACUUACAACAUAAGAUAAAUGUGAAAUAAAUAAAAAAUAAGUACUUCCAAAUCACACAUUCACUGGCAACAUAUUGAUCUACUGAUGUAAGACUUCACGAAUCAUCAGAUAUUGUGUUAGACCAAAAGUCAAAGGUUCAAUUAUUGGAAGCAACAUUUGUUAAAAGAGUCAGUCAUGCAUCUCAAAAAAAAUUAAUUUUUUACACACAACGUGAAGAAUACCCUAAAUUAUACCAAAAACUAGAUAAUUGCAUGAAAGAUAGAAUGCAGGUUGGUAAUAGAAGAAAAUCAAAAGCAUUGAAAUGAAUAAAAGAAUUAAAAUAUUAGCAUAAAUGUCGGAAAACAUUAAAAGUACUAAAUGGUAGUAAUAAAAUAAAUAUAAA
rnacentral:lncRNA from 1 species